rnacentral:rRNA from 1 species
GACAGAGGCCUCAAGCGUUAGGCGGAGUCACUGGGCUUAAAGCGUGUGUAGGCGGAUCGUUAAGUGUCUUGUGAAAUCCCACGGCUCACCCGUGGAACGGCUGGGCAUACUGGCGAUCUUGGGCCAACUAGGGGCAACUGGAACAAGCGGUGGAGCGGUGAAAUGCGUAGAUAAUCGCUUGGAACGCCAAAGGGUGAAAACAGGUGCUGGGGUUGUG